GAUGUUGACCUUACGAUGACGUCAUCUUGCUGGUCGGACUCUUGGCGAACGGGUGAGUAACACGUGAGUAACCUGCCCUUGACUUCGGGAUAACUCCGGGAAACCGGGGCUAAUACCGGAUAUGAGCUACCUUCGCAUGGGGGUGGUUGGAAAGUUUUUCGGUCAGGGAUGGGCUCGCGGCCUAUCAGCUUGUUGGUGGGGUGAUGGCCUACCAAGGCGACGACGGGUAGCCGGCCUGAGAGGGCGACCGGCCACACUGGGACUGAGACACGGCCCAGACUCCUACGGGAGGCAGCAGUGGGGAAUAUUGCACAAUGGGCGAAAGCCUGAUGCAGCGACGCCGCGUGAGGGAUGAAGGCCUUCGGGUUGUAAACCUCUUUCAGCAGGGAAGAAGCGCAAGUGACGGUACCUGCAGAAGAAGCGCCGGCUAACUACGUGCCAGCAGCCGCGGUAAUACGUAGGGCGCAAGCGUUGUCCGGAAUUAUUGGGCGUAAAGAGCUCGUAGGCGGUUUGUCGCGUCUGGUGUGAAAACUCGAGGCUCAACCUCGAGCUUGCAUCGGGUACGGGCAGACUAGAGUGCGGUAGGGGAGACUGGAAUUCCUGGUGUAGCGGUGGAAUGCGCAGAUAUCAGGAGGAACACCGAUGGCGAAGGCAGGUCUCUGGGCCGCAACUGACGCUGAGGAGCGAAAGCAUGGGGAGC
rnacentral:rRNA from 1 species